rnacentral:rRNA from 1 species
UACGUAGGGGGCAAGCGUUGUCCGGAAUUAUUGGGCGUAAAGAGCGUGUAGGCGGCCAGAUAAGUCCGCUGUGAAAUCUCGAGGCUCAACUUCGAGCUGUCGGUGGAAACUGUCUGGCUAGAGUCCGGAAGAGGAGAAUGGAAUUCCUGGUGUAGCGGUGAAAUGCGCAGAUAUCAGGAAGAACACCCGUGGCGAAGGCGCUCUGCUGGACCAUAACUGACACUCAGGGACGAAAGCUAGGGGAGCGAAUGGG